UACUAACGAUUUGAAAUUCGUCACUAAAAGUGCAGUAUUAGUGACGAAUAUCAAAAUCGUCACUAAUACUGCACUUUUAGUGACGAAUUUCAAACCAU